GAAGCAGCUUGCUGCUUCGCUGACGAGUGGCGGACGGGUGAGUAAUGUCUGGGAAACUGCCUGAUGGAGGGGGAUAACUACUGGAAACGGUGGCUAAUACCGCAUAACGUCGCAAGACCAAAGAGGGGGACCUUCGGGCCUCUUGCCAUCAGAUGUGCCCAGAUGGGAUUAGCUUGUUGGUGAGGUAACGGCUCACCAAGGCGACGAUCCCUAGCUGGUCUGAGAGGAUGACCAGCCACACUGGAACUGAGACACGGUCCAGACUCCUACGGGAGGCAGCAGUGGGGAAUAUUGCACAAUGGGCGCAAGCCUGAUGCAGCCAUGCCGCGUGUAUGAAGAAGGCCUUCGGGUUGUAAAGUACUUUCAGCGGGGAGGAAGGUGUUGUGGUUAAUAACCGCAGCAAUUGACGUUACCCGCAGAAGAAGCACCGGCUAACUCCGUGCCAGCAGCCGCGGUAAUACGGAGGGUGCAAGCGUUAAUCGGAAUUACUGGGCGUAAAGCGCACGCAGGCGGUCUGUCAAGUCGGAUGUGAAAUCCCCGGGCUCAACCUG
rnacentral:rRNA from 1 species